rnacentral:rRNA from 1 species
GACGAACGCUGGCGGCGUGCUUAACACAUGCAAGUCGAGCGGUAAGGCCCUUUCGGGGGUACACGAGCGGCGAACGGGUGAGUAACACGUGGGUGACCUGCCCUCAGCUCUGGGAUAAGCCUGGGAAACUGGGUCUAAUACCGGAUAUGACUCCAUGACGCAUGUUGUGGGGUGGAAAGCCUUGUGCGGCUGAGGAUGGGCCCGCGGCCUAUCAGCUUGUUGGG